AUCAUGUACACUGGAACGUUCCUGUGCAUUGGUGACCUUAUGUUGAUGACUCAGCUGCUCAGUACUCAACAUAAAAUCAGUCAUGUUUACUGAUCGGCUUAAAUGAUUCACUUGAGCAUCUCAGAAUGUAUGUAUGAAUGU